GACGAACGCUGGCGGCGCGCUUAACACAUGCAAGUCGAACGGUAAGGCCCUUCGGGGUACACGAGUGGCGAACGGGUGAGUAACACGUGGGUGAUCUGCCCUGCACUUCGGGAUAAGCCUGGGAAACUGGGUCUAAUACCGGAUAGGACUCCUGCCUGCAUGGGUGGGGGUGGAAAGCUUUUGCGGUGUGGGAUGGGCCCGCGGCCUAUCAGCUUGUUGGUGGGGUGAUGGCCUACCAAGGCGACGACGGGUAGCCGGCCUGAGAGGGUGACCGGCCACACUGGGACUGGGAUACGGCCCAGACUCCUACGGGAGGCAGCAGUGGGGAAUAUUGCACAAUGGGCGCAAGCCUGAUGCAGCGACUCCGCGUGAGGGAUGACGGCCUUCGGGUUGUAAACCUCUUUCAGCACAGACGAAGCGCAAGUGACGGUAUGUGCAGAAGAAGGACCGGCCAACUACGUGCCAGCCGCCGCCGUAA
rnacentral:rRNA from 1 species